UUGCACAUUAUUCUCUAUUCUCAUCCAUAUCCCCCUUUACCAGUUAUUAGCAUUACAGAUGGCUAAUAUAUAAGAAAAAAAUGGUAAGCUACAUAAAUAUUUAUUACAAAAUAUAAGUACCUAUUAAUUGCAAUAUAACAUUCUCAGGUACAAUAAAUUUGAUCAAAUUAUAUACGCUUAAAGCUAUCGGUUAAAUAAAUAUUUAGGGUUGACUGCAAAAUUAAAUAUUGAUAAUUAGUCAUCAUAAAAAAACUUUUAAAUUAAUUUUUUUUUUAAAUAAAUUUGCCAUGUCCAUAAGUAUUCGAAAUCGUGUUAGUCACAUAUAUAGUUAUGAUCAUUCAAAAUUUUAAACAAAUAUAACAUUCUUUGAAUCUUGAAUCAUUUAAGGCGUGAUUUUUGUUUUGUUUGUAUUUAAAUGCUUGGUGUUAUGCCAAUUUAAUCCAUAAAACCACAAAAUAUGUAUAUGUAUCAAUUAAAUAAAUAGGGAAAAGUGUGCUAGCCAUUGAUCAUAUCCAGAAAAUGUAUUGUGUAUAUCUACAGUUACAUUAAGUACAUUACAUGGUAUUUCAAAGUAUCAUAAAUAGGAACCAGUUUAGGAGCACUAGCAAAUAUUUGACAAAUGAUGUUUCUCAUUUCGAGGCAACUUAACUUUAUAAAUGUUUUGUUUCUCUGAAAAUGUAGAUAUAUCAUGCCUAUAUGAAUAAUAACAUUUAUCCUGCAAUUGGGUGUCCUACUAUACAGAUACAGCCCUACAGAUAUCGCUAUGCUGUAUCUGUAUACUAUACAGAUAUCGCUU
rnacentral:lncRNA from 1 species